rnacentral:rRNA from 1 species
GACGAACGCUGGCGGCGUGCUUAACACAUGCAAGUCGAACGGAAAGGCCCUGCUUUUGUGGGGUGCUCGAGUGGCGAACGGGUGAGUAACACGUGAGUAACCUGCCCUUGACUUUGGGAUAACUUCAGGAAACUGGGGCUAAUACCGGAUAGGAGCUCCUGCUGCAUGGGGGGGGUUGGAAAGUUUCGGCGGUUGGGGAUGGACUCGCGGCUUAUCAGCUUGUUGGUGGGGUAGUGGCUUACCAAGGCUUUGACGGGUAGCCGGCCUGAGAGGGUGACCGGCCACAUUGGGCCUGAGAUACGGCCCAGUCUCCAACGGGAGGCAGCAGUGGGGAAUAUUGCACAAUGGGGGGACGCCUGAUGCAGCGACGCCGCGUGCGGGAUGAAGGCCUUCGGGUUGUGAACCGCUUUCGCCUGUGACGAAGCGUGAGUGACGGUAAUGGGUAAAGAAGCACCGGCUAACUACGUG